UGAACGCUGGCGGCGUGCCUAACACAUGCAAGUCGAACGGAGAUUAACGCUGAUGAGGCUUCGGCGGAUUCUUGUUAAAUCUUAGUGGCGGACGGGUGAGUAACGCGUGGGCAACCUGCCUCAUACUGGGGGAUAGCAGUUGGAAACGACUGGUAAUACCGCAUAAGCGCACGAGAUCGCAUGAUCUAGUGUGAAAAACUCCGGUGGUAUGAGAUGGGCCCGCGUCAGAUUAGCUAGUUGGUAAGGUAACGGCUUACCAAGGCGACGGUCUGUAGCCGGACUGAGAGGUCGGACGGCCACAUUGGGACUGAGACACGGCCCAAACUCCUACGGGAGGCAGCAGUGGGGGAUAUUGCACAAUGGAGGAAACUCUGAUGCAGCGACGCCGCGUGAGUGAAGAAGUAUUUCGGUAUGUAAAGCUCUAUCAGCAGGGAAGAAAGACUCGCAAGAGAGAUGACGGUACCUGACUAAGAAGCCCCGGCUAACUACGUGCCAGCCGCAGC
rnacentral:rRNA from 1 species